CAGGAAGGCACAUACACCUACUAUCUGUCCAUACCAGAGCAGAAACGUAACACACUGACGUUGAGGUGAUGGUGGAGUAAAAGUACAAGCAGAAGAUUUUGUUCCAACUUCCCCAUAGAUGCAGUUCACAUGAUUAUUUUAUGAUUCAGAAAUAAACAUUCCUACAGACACAUCAUGAGAGAUCGGUGGUGACCGGGAAGGGAAAGGAGGACUUGGACAUGGGAAUGAGACGUCCAUUAAACUCUUGCCAUAUGUGAAGCACCAUAGAGAGAAAAUACUGGCCACAUCUC
rnacentral:lncRNA from 1 species